rnacentral:rRNA from 1 species
AUUGAACGCUGGCGGCAGGCCUAACACAUGCAAGUCGAGCGGGGUUUUCGGACCUAGCGGCGGACGGGUGAGUAAUGCGUAGGAAGCUGCCCGAUAGAGGGGGAUACCAGUUGGAAACGACUGUUAAUACCGCAUAAUGUCUACGGACCAAAGUGUGGGACCUUCGGGCCACAUGCUAUCGGAUGCGACUACGUGGGAUUAGCUAGUUGGUGAGGUAAUGGCUCACCAAGGCGACGAUCUCUAGCUGGGUUGAGAGGAUGAUCAGCCACACUGGAACUGAGACACGGUCCAGACUCCUACGGGAGGCAGCAGUGGGGAAUAUUGGACAAUGGGCGCAAGCCUGAUCAGCCAUGCCGCGUGUGUGAAGAAGGCCUUCGGGUUGUAAAGCACUUUCAGCGAGGAGGAAGGGGUGUGUGUUAAUAGUACACACCUUUGACGUUACUCGCAGAAGAAGCACCGGCUAACUCUGUGCCAGCCGCCGCCGUAAUAC